UAAAAGAAAAGGUCUCAGAUGCCCCC
rnacentral:piRNA from 1 species